rnacentral:rRNA from 1 species
GACGAACGCUGGCGGCGUGCUUAACACAUGCAAGUCGAACGAUGAAGCUGGAGCUUGCUCCGGUGGAUUAGUGGCGAACGGGUGAGUAACACGUGAGCAAUCUGCCCUUGACUCUGGGAUAACUGCGGGAAACUGUAGCUAAUACCGGAUAUGAGAUCUGAAGGCAUCUUCGGGUUUGGAAAGAAUUUCGGUCAAGGAUGAGCUCGCGGCCUAUCAGCUAGUUGGUGAGGUAAUGGCUCACCAAGGCGACGACGGGUAGCCGGCCUGAGAGGGUGACCGGCCACACUGGAACUGAGACACGGUCCAGACUCCUACGGGAGGCAGCAGUGGGGAAUAUUGCACAAUGGGCGAAAGCCUGAUGCAGCAACGCCGCGUGAGGGAUGAAGGCCUUCGGGUUGUAAACCUCUUUUAGCAGGGAAGAAGCGAAAGUGACGGUACCUGCAGAAAAAGCACCGGCUAACUACGUGCCAGCAGCCGCCGUAA